ACUAAGCGUACACGGUGGAUGCCUAGGCAGUCAGAGGCGAUGAAGGGCGUGCUAAUCUGCGAAAAGCGUCGGUAAGGUGAUAUGAACCGUUAUAACCGACGAUACCCGAAUGGGGAAACCCAGUGCAAUUCGUUGCACUAUUGCAUGGUGAAUACAUAGCCAUGCAAGGCGAACCGGGGGAACUGAAACAUCUAAGUACCCCGAGGAAAAGAAAUCAACCGAGAUUCCCCCAGUAGCGGCGAGCGAACGGGGAGGAGCCCAGAGUCUGAAUCAGUUUGUGUGUUAGUGGAAGCGUCUGGAAAGUCGCAGGGUACAGGGUGAUACUCCCGUACACAAAAACACACUUGCUGUGAACUCGAUGAGUAGGGCGGGACACGUGACAUCCUGUCUGAAUAUGGGGGGACCAUCCUCCAAGGCUAAAUACUCCUGACUGACCGAUAGUGAACCAGUACCGUGAGGGAAAGGCGAAAAGAACCCCGGCGAGGGGAGUGAAAUAGAACCUGAAACCGUGUACGUACAAGCAGUGGGAGCCUACUUUGUUGGGUGACUGCGUACCUUUUGUAUAAUGGGUCAGCGACUUAUAUUUUGUAGCAAGGUUAACCGAAUAGGGGAGCCGUAGGGAAACCGAGUCUUAACUGGGCGUCUAGUUGCAAGGUAUAGACCCGAAACCCGGUGAUCUAGCCAUGGGCAGGUUGAAGGUUGGGUAACACUAACUGGAGGACCGAACCGACUAAUGUUGAAAAAUUAGCGGAUGACUUGUGGCUGGGGGUGAAAGGCCAAUCAAACCGGGAGAUAGCUGGUUCUCCCCGAAAGCUAUUUAGGUAGCGCCUCGUGAACUCAUCUUCGGGGGUAGAGCACUGUUUCGGCUAGGGGGCCAUCCCGGCUUACCAAACCGAUGCAAACUCCGAAUACCGAAGAAUGUUAUCACGGGAGACACACGGCGGGUGCUAACGUCCGUCGUGAAGAGGGAAACAACCCAGACCGCCAGCUAAGGUCCCAAAGUCAUGGUUAAGUGGGAAACGAUGUGGGAAGGCAUAGACAGCCAGGAUGUUGGCUUAGAAGCAGCCAUCAUUUAAAGAAAGCGUAAUAGCUCACUGGUCGAGUCGGCCUGCGCGGAAGAUGUAACGGGGCUAAACCAUGCACCGAAGCUGCGGCAGCGACGCUUAGGCGUUGUUGGGUAGGGGAGCGUUCUGUAAGCCGUUGAAGGUGACCUGUGAGGGUUGCUGGAGGUAUCAGAAGUGCGAAUGCUGACAUAAGUAACGAUAAUGCGGGUGAAAAACCCGCACGCCGGAAGACCAAGGGUUCCUGUCCAACGUUAAUCGGGGCAGGGUGAGUCGACCCCUAAGGCGAGGCUGAAAAGCGUAGUCGAUGGGAAACAGGUUAAUAUUCCUGUACUUGGUGUUACUGCGAAGGGGGGACGGAGAAGGCUAGGCUAGCCGGGCGACGGUUGUCCCGGUUUAAGCAUGUAGGCGGAGUGACUUGGUAAAUCCGGUUGCUUAUCAACGCUGAGGUGUGAUGACGAGUCACUACGGUGAUGAAGUAGUUGAUGCCAAGCUUCCAGGAAAAGCCUCUAAGCAUCAGGUAACAUUAAAUCGUACCCCAAACCGACACAGGUGGUCAGGUAGAGAAUACUCAGGCGCUUGAGAGAACUCGGGUGAAGGAACUAGGCAAAAUGGUGCCGUAACUUCGGGAGAAGGCACGCUGGCAUUAGGUAAAGGGACUUGCUCCCGGAGCCGAAGCCAGUCGCAGAUACCAGCUGGCUGCAACUGUUUAAUAAAAACACAGCACUGUGCAAACACGAAAGUGGACGUAUACGGUGUGACGCCUGCCCGGUGCUGGAAGGUUAAUUGAUGGGGUCAGCCGCAAGGCGAAGCUCUUGAUCGAAGCCCCAGUAAACGGCGGCCGUAACUAUAACGGUCCUAAGGUAGCGAAAUUCCUUGUCGGGUAAGUUCCGACCUGCACGAAUGGCGUAAUGAUGGCCAGGCUGUCUCCACCCGAGACUCAGUGAAAUUGAACUCGCUGUGAAGAUGCAGUGUACCCGCGGCAAGACGGAAAGACCCCGUGAACCUUUACUAUAGCUUGACACUGAACAUUGAGCCUUGAUGUGUAGGAUAGGUGGGAGGCAUUGAAGUGUGGACGCCAGUCUGCAUGGAGCCAACCUUGAAAUACCACCCUUUAAUGUUUGAUGUUCUAACUCGGCCCCGUGAUCCGGGGUGAGGACAGUGUCUGGUGGGUAGUUUGACUGGGGCGGUCUCCUCCCAAAGAGUAACGGAGGAGCACGAAGGUUAGCUAAUCACGGUCGGACAUCGUGAGGUUAGUGCAAAGGCAUAAGCUAGCUUGACUGCGAGAGUGACGGCUCGAGCAGGUACGAAAGUAGGUCUUAGUGAUCCGGUGGUUCUGAAUGGAAGGGCCAUCGCUCAACGGAUAAAAGGUACUCCGGGGAUAACAGGCUGAUACCGCCCAAGAGUUCAUAUCGACGGCGGUGUUUGGCACCUCGAUGUCGGCUCAUCACAUCCUGGGGCUGAAGUAGGUCCCAAGGGUAUGGCUGUUCGCCAUUUAAAGUGGUACGCGAGCUGGGUUUAGAACGUCGUGAGACAGUUCGGUCCCUAUCUGCCGUGGGCGUUGGAAGAUUGAGAGGGGCUGCUCCUAGUACGAGAGGACCGGAGUGGACGAAUCACUGGUGUUCGGGUUGUCAUGCCAAUGGCAUUGCCCGGUAGCUAAAUUCGGAAGAGAUAACCGCUGAAAGCAUCUAAGCGGGAAACUUGCCUCGAGAUGAGUCUUCCCUGGGGCUUUAAGCCCCCUGAAGGAACGUUAAAGACUAUGACGUUGAUAGGCUGGGUGUGUAAGUGCAGCGAUGCAUUGAGCUAACCAGUACUAAUGAUCCGUGAGGCUUAACC
rnacentral:rRNA from 1 species